rnacentral:rRNA from 1 species
AGUGAACGCUGGCGGUAGGCCUAACACAUGCAAGUCGAACGGCAGCACAGUAAGAGCUUGCUCCUACGGGUGGCGAGUGGCGGGCGGGUGAGGCAUACAUCGGAAUCUACUUUUUCGUGGGGGACAACGUAGGGAAACUUACGCUACUACCGCAUACGACCUACGGGUGAAAGCAGGGGAUCUUCGGACCUUGCGCGAUUGAAUGAGCCGAUGUCGGAUUAGCUAGUUGGCGGGGUAAGGGCCCACCAAGGCGACGAUCCGUAGCUGGUCUGAGAGGAUGAUCGGCCACACUGGAACUGAGACACGGUCCAGACUCCUACGGGAGGCAGCAGUGGGGAAUCUUGCACAAUGGGCGCAAGCCUGAUCCAGCCAUGCCGCGUGGGUGAAGAAGGCCUUCGGGUUGUAAAGCCCUUUUGUUGGGAAGGAAAAGCAGCGGGUUAAUCCCCCGCUGUUCUGACGGUACCCAAACAGUAAGCCCCGGCUAACUUCGUG